rnacentral:lncRNA from 1 species
AACUGAAAGGAGUAGAGUAGGGGCAAUUGUGAGAUGAGAAUGUGAACAGAGACCAGACCAGAGACCUGAGAUCUGGCAAUUGGGGAGAACAAGUUGUUUUCAGAUAAAGAAAGGAUAAAUACAAAGAAGAAAAAAAAAUGAUCCCUUCCAUAUACCAGUACAAAGAAAUGUCACUUCAAUAGAUUGUUUCUUAUUACCUAGGCACUUCAAAGAGCAUUACUCUCAGAAGUAUGGAUUUGUAUUGCCAACAGCC